ensembl:lncRNA
UUUUUUUUUUUGAGACAGAGUCUGACUCUGUUGCCCACGCUGGAGUGCAGUGGCGCGAUCUCGGCUCACUGCAAACUCCACCUCCCGGGUUCAAGCGAUCUUCCUGCCUCAGCCCCCCUAGUAGGUGGGAUUACAGGCACGUGCCACCAUGCCCGGCUAAUUUUUGUAUUUUUAGUAGAGACGGGGUUUCGGCAUGCUGGCCAGGCCGGUCUCGAACUCCUGACCUUAGGCGAUCCACCCGUCUUGGCCUCCUAAAGUGCUGGGAUUACAGGCUUGAGCCACCGCGCCCGGCCAAAGGUGUGGUCUUCUAAAAUCUGAGGAGUUGUGUUGAAUUCUAAAGCAUGUCAGCAUAAGCAAGAAUAAAAGGAGCUCCCCUAAAAUGUUCCCUUUUUCCUUCCUCCACCUUUGACCCCCAAACCUCAGUUCUGGAAAUCUAAGUUUUAUGCACACAGAUGUUCUAUCAGUACUAUAUAUGACAUUGAUAAAUAGACAUUAACAAACUGUCCUAAACUCAAUGAAUGGCUACAUAAAAUGUACAUUCUAUGGCAUAUUAUAUGCCAUUAAAUUGAUGCUUUUAAAAAUUAAAAAUAACAAAGGAAAUGCAUAAGAUAUAAUAGCAAGUGAAAAAUAGACUAUAUUUGUAUACUAUGAUCACAGCUUUAUAAACGAAAAUAAUAUAUAUUUAUACACACACACACACACAUAUAUACAUACGAUGUGGCAGUCUGCUAGUUUAAAAAUAGGUACUUGACUGGGUGGGGUGGCUAAUGCCUGUAAUCCCAGCACUUUGGGAGGCUGAGGAAGGUGGAUCACGAGGUCAGGAGUUCAAGACCAGCCUGGCCAAUAUGGUGAAACCCUGUCUGUACUAAAGAUACAAAAAAUUAGCCAGGCAUGGUGGUGCGCACCUGUAAUCCUAGCUACUUGGGAGGCUGAGACAGGAGAAUUGCUUGAACCUGGUUGCAGUGAGCCAAGAUCGCGCCAUUGCCCUCCAGCCUGGGUGAUGGCAAGACUGUCUCCAAAAAAAAAAAAAAAAAAAAAAGUACUUAUUUCUCUCCUCUACUUUUUUGUAUUUUUAAAUGCAAUAAACACACAUUGCUUUUGUGAAGGAAAAACCUAAUCAAUGAAUUUUAAAGAAGACAGCUUGGGUCUUGUGAACACUGGGCUAUGUGAUGACUCUUCUUAGUAAUGUUUAAAACCCAGACUCUGAGUUAUGGGACAACUGGGGAAUAUUCUUCUUCUUCUUCUCUCUUCUCUUUUCCUCUUCCUCCUCCUCCUCCUCUUCUUCUCCUUCUUCCUCUUUUUCUUUCUCCUCUUCCUCCUCCUCCUUCUUCUUCUUUCUUCUUUCUUUGCCCCACUGUCACCUUCUCAGGGCCACCAUGGACUGUAUUCUCAUCAGGGACUUGGGAGACCACUUUGGCUCAACCCUGUGCCCACCACUUUGCUGACAUCCAAGGGGCUGGGGGCCCCAGUCUGGGAAGCUCAAACCUUCAUCCAUGCCUGAUCUCAGCAGCAUGUCCCAUUCCAGUUCUCUAUUAAAAAUUGUGUUUCUACAACUCUUUUCAUAGAAAAAAAAGUUGUGUUCCUUGUCUUAGCAUGGUGCAUUUCUGCAGUUGGACUGAGGUGUUACUAAAACUACAGUUUUCUAUUCAGAGAGAGGAGAGGACUCCAGACUGCCAGUGCAAGAGAAUACAUGCGUGCAUGCAUGUGUCUGGAAAGAAAAUUCUG